AGUGAACGCUGGCGGCAGGCCUAACACAUGCAAGUCGAGCGGCAGCGCGGGGGCAACCCUGGCGGCGAGCGGCGGACGGGUGAGGAAUUCGUCGGAAUCUGCCUUUUUGUGGGGGAUAACGUAGGGAAACUUACGCUAAUACCGCAUACGUCCUACGGGAGAAAGUGGGGGACCGCAAGGCCUCACGCAGAAAGAUGAGCCGACGACCGAUUAGCUAGUUGGUGGGGUAAAGGGCCACCAAGGCGACGAUCGGUAGCUGGUCUGAGAGGAUGAUCAGCCACACUGGGACUGAGGCACGGCCCAGACUCCUACGGGAGGCAGCAGUGGGGAAUAUUGGACAAUGGGCGCAAGCCUGAUCCAGCCAUGCCGCGUGUGUGAAGAAGGCCUUCGGGUUGUAAAGCACUUUUGUCCGGAAAGAAAUCCCUGGAGCUAAUACCUUCGGGGGAUGACGGUACCGGAAGAAUAAGCACCGGCUAACUUCGUG
rnacentral:rRNA from 1 species